rnacentral:rRNA from 1 species
UACAGAGGUGGCAAGCGUUGUUCGGAAUUACUGGGCGUAAAGGGCGCGUAGGCGGCCUUCUAAGUCAGACGUGAAAUCUCCGGGCUUAACCCGGAAAGGUCAGCCGAUACUGUGCGACUAGAGUGCGGAAGGGGCAACUGGAAUUCUUGGUGUAGCGGUGAAAUGCGUAGAUAUCAAGAGGAACACCUGCGGCGAAGGCGGGUUGCUGGGCCGACACUGACGCUGAGGCGCGAAAGCUAGGGGAGCGAACGGG